rnacentral:rRNA from 1 species
UACGGAGGAUGCAAGCGUUAUCCGGAAUCAUUGGGCGUAAAGCGCGUGUAGGCGGCUUUGCAAGUCGGGUGUGAAAGCCCUCGGCUCAACCGAGGAAGUGCGCCCGAAACUGCAGAGCUUGAGUGCCGGAGAGGGUGGCGGAAUUCCCCAAGUAGAGGUGAAAUUCGUAGAUAUGGGGAGGAACACCGGUGGCGAAGGCGGCCACCUGGACGGUUACUGACGCUGAGACGCGAAAGCGUGGGGAGCAAACAGG